GUGCCAGCCGCCGCGGUAAGACGAACCACACGAACGUUAUUCGGAAUUACUGGGCUUAAAGGGUGCGUAGGCUGCGCAGAAAGUUGGGUGUGAAAUACCUCGGCUUAACCGAGGAACUGCGCCCAAAACUACUGUGCUUGAGGAAGAUAGAGGUGAGCGGAACUUACGGUGGAGCGGUGAAAUGCGUUGAUAUCGUAAGGAACACCUGUGGCGAAAGCGGCUCACUGGGUCUUUUCUGACGCUGAUGCACGAAAGCUAGGGGAGCGAACGGGAUUAGAAACCCUCGUAGUCC
rnacentral:rRNA from 1 species